rnacentral:lncRNA from 1 species
UUUCUUCAAUCAAGGACCAUCUUUCCAGCUUCAAUACUAUUUCUUUCUCUUUAAGCUGCAGCUCAUCAUUGUAUGCCAGUGCCAUUUGAUUCUGUAUGUCUUUCAAUUCUUGUCUGCUAUGGUCAAUUCUCUGAGCAAUGUUCCUAAAAUCUUUAAUAUUUAAAGACUUUAGGGGCCCUUUCAAUGACUUGAGAUUGGACCAUACUGAUUUCAUAGAAAACAGAUUGUUGCAGUGCCAGUUGUCUUUUACCAGAUGCUGAAAGUCUUCAUGAUCAGCCCAUGUAUUGAAAAAUUUGAAAGGUAUCUUCCCUUUCCUAGUAUCUUCUGCCACUGUUAUUAUCAUAGGAUUAUGAUAAGAGAUUAGGGGAUGAUCAUAAAAAGUUUCCACAUGGCUUCACUUGAUCAUCCAUUCAUAGUUACCAAAUACUCUGUCCAGUCUGCUGCAUACUCUAUCAUUGCAUGUCUGCCUAUUUGUCCAAGUGAAAUAAUCACCUUUCCAAGGUAGUUCUGAAAGCCCAGCAUGUUGUAUGCUUUGAGUAAACUCUUGAGUCUCUGAAUACUUAACAUGAUUACUUGACUGUCUAUCACUGGCAUAUAACACAGCAUUGAAAUCUCCAGCAACUAACCAUUGAAUACUUAACAUGGUUACUUGACUGUCUAUCACUGGCAUAUAACACAACAUUGAAAUCUCCAGCAACUAACCAUGCCUCAGUAAUAGCAACUGAGAAAUCCUGCAGAUUUUUCCAUAGAGAUCUUCUCUGGUCCACCGCAUUAUAUCCAUAUACCACAGUUAGAUAGCAAGUGACAUCCCCAGUAUUGCUUCUGACUCUACAGUGUAGCAGUUGAGCCUCCUCCUGGAUACCAGUGACUGUGAGCAGCUUUCUAUCCCAUAAAAUCCACACUGUACCAUUUAUAGAACCAUUAUAAUUUGCUAGGACACCCCAACCAGAAAUCAACAGCUUAGCAAUUCUUCUUGCAUUUUUUUCUUUAACCUUAGUUAUCAUUAAU